AGCUGUGUCUCAGGCCAGGCUAUCUAUGCUAGCAAUUGUGCCGUGGGACCCCCUGCCUACCACUGCUCCUACAGCUCUAGUGUCCCCUGCUGUCUGAUGACUCUCUGUGCCUUGUCUUCACUCUGAUUUUUCUGUUCUGUCCUCUCCCCAGGGCCUUUGCACAUGCUGGCCACUCCUAUUCACUCUUCAGGAACAACACACUUGGACCAUGUGUUUCUUUGGCAUUCGUGAAGAAAAACUCUUACAAGAUGACAGCAAGGGUCUGAGCUCCAGCAUGGAAGGCCUGCCUCUCUCACAGCUGUACCACAUGUCCAGAACGUGACUGGUACCCAAGACAUGGGGAAGUCCUUGGCCCUGGCACCCAAGAAUAUGACCUUAUUUGGAAACAGGGUCUCUGCAGAUGGAAUUGAGGAAAGAUGAAGUCAUUGUGGAGCCUAAUCAAAUGGGAGGAAUGGUAACAAAGAGGUCUGCUGUCCAGAGCUCGAGGUGAGAAGAAGGCCCUGUCUCCUGCACCUGAGUUUCAAGGAUAGAACUGAGUGAAGCUGGCUCACUCCUUCCCUUCCCCACUCCCCAGCCCCUUUCUCUGCUUCCCGGCACAGCCUGUACUCUUCAUUUAACCCCUUGACCUAGACCCUGUUCUUUUAGCUGGACCAGUUCCAUCAUUCUCACAGGGAUAGACCUAAGAAUCCAGCUUGGCAGGGUAUGCCAUUUGUAACUGUCCUUGGUGUGGCUCAGCUUACCUUAAUCUUAAUUCUGGCCCAAACAUGAAGACUGAGAUAGACCUAACCCAUCUGGGUGCUGUCCUCACACAGCAUGUGUGGCUGCCAUGGGAUGGCUGGUCCUGCUAUAUGGUGACUCAGUGUAGACAAUACAGUGGUUGCAUGGACCGGAAUGACCCAGAGAUGCUAAAUUAUGUCAUUUGUUACUUCCUGGGGAGACAACAGGCUGAGAUGUUUUGGAUGUGCUGGGUUAAAACAUAAUGAAAGAUUAUUUCUUCCUUUUUCUUGAUGUAUGCGUAUGUAUGCAUGUAUAUGUAUUUAUGUUUUUGGCUCCUCCUAAGGCUGAGGAGUCUGCUCUGAACUUCUGUAUCCUCUUAUGGGUGUAGAAGCAUUACAUGUCAUUACAUUACAUUAUAUGUCUCUCGUUUACAUAGUGCUCUCCCUGACAGACUGUGUUUAACUUCCCUUCUUACAGAUUCCUGCCGCAUCGAACCAGGACCAUUCCCCGUCUGCCAUGACCUUGUCUUUCCUUACUGUGUCUGCAAUGACCCUGUUUUCAGAGGUCAUACGGAGGUCCUAGGGAUUUGGAUUCCAACAUGUUUUCCCUUGGGAGAGCACUGUUCCCUUGGGAGAGCACUGUUCCCUUGGGAGAGCACUGUUCCCUUGGGAGAGCACUGUUCCCCAGCUGGGGGCGCUGCUUAAGAAGAAUGUGGAGCUUUUAAAAGUAGAACUUUGAAGGCUAAACUCAUCUCAGGGUUUGGCCUAGCCAGGUUCUCUGAUUCUUGUAAGGAACCUGUCACACACUUCUGCCACCAUGAAUUUAGCUAUGCCUUCAUUACUAUGAGAACUAAAUAAAACCCAGAGAA
rnacentral:lncRNA from 1 species